rnacentral:rRNA from 1 species
GAGGUGUCGCCGCUUGCUGGGUGGAUUAGUGGCGAACGGGUGAGUAACACGUGAGUAACCUGCCCUUAACUCUGGGAUAAGCCUGGGAAACUGGGUCUAAUACUGGAUAUGACUUUUCACCGCAUGGUGGAUUGUGGAAAGAAUUUUGGUUUUGGAUGGACUCGCGGCCUAUCAGCUUGUUGGUGAGGUAAUAGCUCACCAAGGCGACGACGGGUAGCCGGCCUGAGAGGGUGACCGGCCACACUGGGACUGAGACACGGCCCAGACUCCUACGGGAGGCAGCAGUGGGGAAUAUUGCACAAUGGGCGAAAGCCUGAUGCAGCGACGCCGCGUGAGGGAUGAAUGCCUUCGGGUUGUAAACCUCUUUCAGCAGGGAAGAAGCGAAAGUGACGGUACCUGCAGAAGAAGCGCCGGCUAACUACGUGCCAGCAGCCGCGGUAAUACGUAGGGCGCAAGCGUUGUCCGGAAUUAUUGGGCGUAAAGAGCUCGUAGGCGGUUUGUCGCGUCUGCUGUGAAAGCCCGGGGCUCAACCCCGGGUCUGCAGUGGGUACGGGCAGACUAGAGUGAUGUAGGGGAGACUGGAAUUCCUGGUGUAGCGGUGAAAUGCGCAGAUAUCAGGAGGAACACCGAUGGCGAAGGCAGGUCUCUGGGCAUUAACUGACGCUGAGGAGCGAAAGCAUGGGGAGCGAACAGGAUUAGAUACCCUGGUAGUCCAUGCCGUAAACGUUGGGCACUAGGUGUGGGGGACAUUCCACGUUUUCCGCGCCGUAGCUAACGCAUUAAGUGCCCCGCCUGGGGAGUACGGCCGCAAGGCUAAAACUCAAAGGAAUUGACGGGGGCCCGCACAAGCGGCGGAGCAUGCGGAUUAAUUCGAUGCAACGCGAAGAACCUUACCAAGGCUUGACAUGGACUGGAAACACCUGGAGACAGGUGCCCCGCUUGCGGCCGGUUCACAGGUGGUGCAUGGUUGUCGUCAGCUCGUGUCGUGAGAUGUUGGGUUAAGUCCCGCAACGAGCGCAACCCUCGUUCUAUGUUGCCAGCACGUGAUGGUGGGGACUCAUAGGAGACUGCCGGGGUCAACUCGGAGGAAGGUGGGGACGACGUCAAAUCAUCAUGCCCCUUAUGUCUUGGGCUUCACGCAUGCUACAAUGGCCGGUACAAAGGGUUGCGAUACUGUGAGGUGGAGCUAAUCCCAAAAAGCCGGUCUCAGUU